UUCCAAAUGCCUGGGGCAUUAAGAAGGGAAAAGGUUUAGAACUGGAUAUGACUAAAAGGAUUAAACAAUUGUCGAGGACAAUCUAAGGUUUACCAAAGAUUGGUUGCUCAAGGACAGUUGGAAGUAUAGUGAUAAUUCUGGAAGGACCAUAUUGACAUAAUCUGUAAGGAGGCAACUCUUGUUCAGAAGUGAUAGUCAAAAUGGAAUCUGGAAAUGUUUCAAAGUUAGAAUUUUCAAUCUGUGUAAGAUUAAGGAAACUUAAUGCAAGAAGGAUAUUUCCAAGGAGUUGAUCUCCUUUGGAAUACUCUGUAAUGAUUGUUGCCAAGUCUUUGUGACUUUGUGCAUAAUCAUUACAAGAGGAUCAAUGCAUAUAAGUUUAGAAUCUAACAGAUUUCAGUAAAUGGCAUGAAUUUGGAAUUCUUGCAUUUGCAGUAAGGAUUUGGGAGUGUGAAAAGAGAAUCAUUGAAGUUAUGUUCAAUGGAUCUAGUUCACAAAGUAAAGAUCAUAGACAAACAUAGUAUGCAUACUUGGUGUGUGGCAUGACUAGUGUUUAGAAAAAAUAGUGUACAUGCUUGGAGCAUGGGACAACUAUUGUUUUAAAUUCAAGAAUAAAGUUGAUAGCUGAAACAGUAUACAAUGAAUAAUGUGUAAUCAUAUGGUGAUAAAUAAAAGGUGUUUUAUUUAUGUUCAAAGGGUUGAUACCAUAUUGGAUUCAAUUAUUAUUGUGUUUCAUUUUGCAUGUUUUGACUUCCCGAAUAAACUGGGUUAUUCUUCCGGAAUGACUAAGUUAUUCAAACCAUCCACAGUCGGUCAUAUGUUGGAAGUAGAUAUGAAUUAAGACUGUCAUGAGUUGGCUUGUAGAGGUCUAAGGUGUUGGACAAAGGGCUACAACACUCAUGAGUGCUCAUAAGUUCUGAGUAUUGGAUUCAACCCGAGCUCAUUGGAAUCACUUCAUGGAUUUUAUCACGAGUGAUCAUGAGACGAUAAUAUCUUAUAUUCUUCAAACCUAGAGAUAUGAGUUGUUACUAUGAGUUGGUUAUACAUUGAUUGCACGAAAAUGCAUUGGUACCUCGAUGUUAUAAAACGUGCCUUUAUGUAUGAUUCAACAAGUAGUAGAACAAGCCAUAUGAUUCGAAGUUUAUCCAUUCCUUUUACCUUCAGGAUAAAAGCGAUAUAUGUGGGCCCCUCGAUGAUUUGAUGAUGACAAAUGGAAGUGCUUGGACGGGCUAGGAAUGAUUUGAUUUGUUCAAUUAGUCAGUCGUAAUAAAUCGGAAAUCGAGAAACAACAAAUGGACAUAGAGAAUGAUUAGAAUCCAUGUCUCAGUCCAUAUGAUAUCUAGAAUGGAGGAAUAUACGAUCCCUUAUCUAAUAGACGCGUCAUUGAUUUGUUCAGAGUUCGACAACGACUUUAAGAGCUACGAUUGCUAGUCGGGUUAUGAAGUCGUACUUGCAAUAAUAGUUUU
rnacentral:lncRNA from 1 species